rnacentral:rRNA from 1 species
UACGUAGGUGGCAAGCGUUGUCCGGAAUUAUUGGGCGUAAAGCGUGCGCAGGCGGUUUUGUAAGCCAGAUGUGAAAGCCCCGGGCUUAACCUGGGAAUGGCAUUUGGGACUGCAAGGCUUGAGUGCGGCAGAGGAGACUGGAAUUCCUGGUGUAGCAGUGAAAUGCGUAGAUAUCAGGAGGAAUACCGAUGGCGAAGGCAGGUCUCUGGGCUGACACUGACGCUCAUGCACGAAAGCGUGGGGAGCAAACAGG